rnacentral:rRNA from 1 species
GGGUUGUGAGGUUAAGCGAAUAAGCGUACACGGUGGAUGCCCUGGCAGUCAGAGGCGAUGAAGGACGUGCUAAUCUGCGAAAAGCGCCGGUAAGGUGAUAUGAACCGAUACAGCCGGCGAUGUCCGAAUGGGGAAACCCGGUGCACUCAGUGCAUCAUCGCAACAUGAAUACAUAGUGUUGCGAGGCGAACCGGGGGAACUGAAACAUCUAAGUACCCCGAGGAAAAGAAAUCAACCGAGAUUCCCCCAGUAGCGGCGAGCGAACGGGGAGCAGCCCUGAACCAUCAUCAGUGUGUGUGUUAGUGGAAGCGUCCGGAAUGGCGCACGAUACAGGGUGAAAGUCCCGUACAUGAAAAUGCACAUACUGUGAGUUCGAAGAGUAGGGCGGGACACGUGGUAUCCUGUCUGAAUAUGGGGGGACCAUCCUCCAAGGCUAAAUACUCCUGACUGACCGAUAGUGAACCAGUACCGUGAGGGAAAGGCGAAAAGAACCCCGGCGAGGGGAGUGAAAAGAACCUGAAACCGUGUACGUACAAGCAGUGGGAGCACCCUUUGGGGUGUGACUGCGUACCUUUUGUAUAAUGGGUCAGCGACUUAUAUUCUGUAGCAAGGUUAACCGUAUAGGGGAGCCGCAGGGAAACCGAGUCUUAACUGGGCGUUAAGUUGCAGGGUAUAGACCCGAAACCCGGUGAUCUAGCCAUGGGCAGGUUGAAGGUUGGGUAACACUAACUGGAGGACCGAACCGACUAAUGUUGAAAAAUUAGCGGAUGACCUGUGGCUGGGGGUGAAAGGCCAAUCAAACCGGGAGAUAGCUGGUUCUCCCCGAAAGCUAUUUAGGUAGCGCCUCGUGAACUCAUCUCCGGGGGUAGAGCACUGUUUCGGCUAGGGGGCCAUCCCGGCUUACCAACCCGAUGCAAACUGCGAAUACCGGAGAAUGUUAUCACGGGAGACACACGGCGGGUGCUAACGUCCGUCGUGAAGAGGGAAACAACCCAGACCGCCAGCUAAGGUCCCAAAGUCAUGGUUAAGUGGGAAACGAUGUGGGAAGGCUCAGACAGCCAGGAUGUUGGCUUAGAAGCAGCCAUCAUUUAAAGAAAGCGUAAUAGCUCACUGGUCGAGUCGGCCUGCGCGGAAGAUGUAACGGGGCUAAACCAUGCACCGAAGCUGCGGCAGCGACACUAUGUGUUGUUGGGUAGGGGAGCGUUCUGUAAGCCAUUGAAGGUGGACUGUGAGGUCUGCUGGAGGUAUCAGAAGUGCGAAUGCUGACAUAAGUAACGAUAAAGCGGGUGAAAAGCCCGCUCGCCGGAAGACCAAGGGUUCCUGUCCAACGUUAAUCGGGGCAGGGUGAGUCGACCCCUAAGGCGAGGCUGAAAAGCGUAGUCGAUGGGAAACAGGUUAAUAUUCCUGUACUUGGUGUUACUGCGAAGGGGGGACGGAGAAGGCUAUGUCAUCCGGGCGACGGUUGUCCCGGUUUAAGCGUGUAGGCUGAGAUUCCAGGCAAAUCCGGAAUCUCUUAAGGCUGAGGCGUGAUGACGAGGUGCUACGGCACUGAAGUGACAAAUGCCCUGCUUCCGGGAAAAGCCUCUAAGCUCCAGGUAACACGAAAUCGUACCCCAAACCGACACAGGUGGUCAGGUAGAGAAUACCAAGGCGCUUGAGAGAACUCGGGUGAAGGAACUAGGCAAAAUGGUGCCGUAACUUCGGGAGAAGGCACGCUGGCGCGUAGGUGAAGGGACUUGCUCCCGGAGCUGAAGCCAGUCGAAGAUACCAGCUGGCUGCAACUGUUUAUUAAAAACACAGCACUGUGCAAACACGAAAGUGGACGUAUACGGUGUGACGCCUGCCCGGUGCCGGAAGGUUAAUUGAUGGGGUUAUCGCUCUGCGAGAAGCUCCUGAUCGAAGCCCCGGUAAACGGCGGCCGUAACUAUAACGGUCCUAAGGUAGCGAAAUUCCUUGUCGGGUAAGUUCCGACCUGCACGAAUGGCGUAAUGAUGGCCAGGCUGUCUCCACCCGAGACUCAGUGAAAUUGAAAUCGCUGUGAAGAUGCAGUGUACCCGCGGCAAGACGGAAAGACCCCGUGAACCUUUACUAUAGCUUGACACUGAAUAUUGAGCCUUGAUGUGCAGGAUAGGUGGGAGGCACUGAAGUACGGACGCCAGUUCGUACGGAGCCAUCCUUGAAAUACCACCCUUUAAUGUUUGAUAUUCUAACGUGGACCCGUUAUCCGGGUUGCGGACAGUGUCUGGUGGGUAGUUUGACUGGGGCGGUCUCCUCCCAAAGAGUAACGGAGGAGCACGAAGGUUAGCUAAUCACGGUCGGACAUCGUGAGGUUAGUGCAAAGGCAUAAGCUAGCUUGACUGCGAGAGUGACGGUUCGAGCAGGUGCGAAAGCAGGUCUUAGUGAUCCGGUGGUUCUGAAUGGAAGGGCCAUCGCUCAACGGAUAAAAGGUACUCCGGGGAUAACAGGCUGAUACCGCCCAAGAGUUCAUAUCGACGGCGGUGUUUGGCACCUCGAUGUCGGCUCAUCACAUCCUGGGGCUGAAGUAGGUCCCAAGGGUACGGCUGUUCGCCGUUUAAAGUGGUACGCGAGCUGGGUUUAGAACGUCGUGAGACAGUUCGGUCCCUAUCUGCCGUGGGCGCUGGAGAAUUGAGGGGGGUUGCUCCUAGUACGAGAGGACCGGAGUGAACGCACCACUGGUGUUCGGGUUGUCAUGCCAAUGGCAUUGCCCGGUAGCUAAGUGCGGAAAAGAUAAGUGCUGAAAGCAUCUAAGCACGAAACUUGCCCCGAGAUGAGUUCUCCCUGACCCUUUAAGGGUCCUGAAGGGACGUUGAAGACGACGACGUUGAUAGGCCGGAUGUGUAAGUGCAGCGAUGCAUUGAGCUAACCGGUACUAAUGACCCGUGAGGCUUAACCUUACAACGCCAGAGGCGUUUUG